GUCGGCUCAUCACAUCCUGGGGCUGAAGUAGGUCCCAAGGGUAUGGCUGUUCGCCAUUUAAAGUGGUACGCGAGCUGGGUUUAGAACGUCGUGAGACAGUUCGGUCCCUAUCUGCCGUGGGCGCUGGAGAACUGAGGGGGGCUGCUCCUAGUACGAGAGGACCGGAGUGGACGCAUCACUGGUGUUCGGGUUGUCAUGCCAAUGGCACUGCCCGGUAGCUAAAUGCGGAAGAGAUAAGUGCUGAAAGCAUCUAAGCACGAAACUUGCCCCGAGAUGAGUUCUCCCUGAGACUUAGAGUCUCCUGAAGGAACGUUGAAGACGACGACGUUGAUAGGCCGGGUGUGUAAGCGCAGCGAUGCGUUGAGCUAACCGGUACUAAUGAACCGUGAGGCUUAACCUUACAACGCCGAAG
rnacentral:rRNA from 1 species